rnacentral:lncRNA from 1 species
CAUUCAAUAUAUGCAUAUUUCAUAAUAAAUCAAUAAACUAUAAUAUUUUAGAAAUCAUUUUUUGUUCAAAAUAUAGUUUUAUAAAUCAUGCAUAGUUUCAAAGAUUAAUUAUUUAUUUUUAAAAUAAAUUAUAAAAUAUCUCAAAAAGAUAGUUUAUUACUUACCUCAUAUGUACUUUGAUAAGAUCCAAAUAAUUUUAAAAAUUUUAUUUCAAAUUUUUAAUAAAUAGAUAAUAUUAUAGAAUCCACUGCUGGAUAUUUUCUUAUUAAGAUGAUCACACCCCU